AUUGAACGCUGGCGGCAGGCCUAACACAUGCAAGUCGAACGGUAACAGGAAGAAGCUUGCUUCUUUGCUGACGCGUGGCGGCCGGGUGAGUAAUGUCUGGGAAACUGCCUGUUGGCGGGGGAUAACUACUGGAAACGGUAGCUAAUACCGCAUAACGUCGCAAGACCAAAGAGGGGGACCUUCGGGCCUCUUGCCACCGGAUGUGCCCAGAUGGGAUUAGCUAGUAGGUGGGGUAACGGCUCACCUAGGCGACGAUCCCUAGCUGGUCUGAGAGGAUGACCAGCCACACUGGAACUGAGACACGGUCCAGACUCCUACGGGAGGCAGCAGUGGGGAAUAUUGCACAAUGGGGGCAAGCCUGAUGCAGCCAUGCCGCGUGUAUGAAGAAGGCCUUCGGGUUGUAAAGUACUUUCAGCGGGGAGGAAGGGAGGAAAGUUAAUACCUUUGCUCAUUGACGUUACCCGCAGAAGAAGCACCGGCUAACUCCGUG
rnacentral:rRNA from 1 species